rnacentral:rRNA from 1 species
UGGGGAAUAUUGCACAAUGGGCGCAAGCCUGAUGCAGCCAUGCCGCGUGUGUGAAGAAGGCCUUCGGGUUGUAAAGCACUUUCAGCGGGGAGGAAGGCGUUAAGGUUAAUAACCUUGGCGAUUGACGUUACCCGCAGAAGAAGCACCGGCUAACUCCGUGCCAGCAGCCGCGGUAAUACGGAGGGUGCAAGCGUUAAUCGGAAUUACUGGGCGUAAAGCGAACGCAGGCGGUCGGUCAAGUCGGAUGUGAAAUCCCCGGGCUCAACCUGGGAACUGCAUUCGAAAUUGGCGGGCUAGAGGCUUGUAGAGGGGGGUAGAAUUCCAGGUGUAGCGGUGAAAUGCGUAGAGAUCUGGAGGAAUACCGGUGGCGAAGGCGGCCCCAUGGACAAAGACUGACGCUCAGGUGCGAAAGCGUGGGGAGCAAACAGG